rnacentral:rRNA from 1 species
CUACGGGUCGCAGCAGUGGGGAAUAUUGCACAAUGGGGGAAACCCUGAUGCAGCAACGCCGCGUGGAGGAUGACGCAUUUCGGUGUGUAAACUCCUUUUAUAUAGGAAGAUAAUGACGGUACUAUAUGAAUAAGCACCGGCUAACUCCGUGCCAGCAGCCGCGGUAAUGACGGAGGGUGCAAGCGUUACUCGGAAUCACUGGGCGUAAAGCGCGCGCAGGCGGCCUUUUAAGUUGGAUGUGAAAGCCUAUGGCUUAACCAUAGAACUGCAUCCAAAACUAUCAGGCUAGAGUCUGGGAGGGGAAGGUGGAAUUAGUUGUGUAGGGGUAAAAUCCGUAGAGAUAACUAGGAAUACCAAAAGCGAAGGCGAUCUUCUGGAACAGUACUGACGCUGAGGCGCGAAAGCGUGGGGAGCAAACAGGAUUAGAUACCCUUGUAGUC